GAGGAAAGUAUCGCCUUCUAG
rnacentral:miRNA from 1 species